UUUGUCAGUCACUCUUUAACGAACAAUUUUAGCAUGAGUCAACUUAUAUGGCAGCUGAUCAUCGUCACAUUUCUAUUGUACGAAAGAAGUCUCAGCGCCCAAGAUACUUCUUCGAAACGCAUCGUAAAGGGUUUCAAUGCAGAUCCUAAACAGUUUCUAUAUCAAGUAUUUUUUAGAAGUCUGGAGGAUAACCACUCUAAAGGAACAUGUGGUGGUGUUAUAAUAUCAAAUCGAAUUGUUCUAACAGCUGCUCAUUGCAUACCUAAAAAUAUUAAUGCUGUUCAAAUUUAUUUUGGAACUGUGGACAGAUCCAAUGAAUUGGAAGUCGGGCAUCAACGAUUGAUAGUAAAAGCAGAGAAUAUUGUCGUACAUCCAGAAUAAUAUCAUUUUAUAAAUGACAUAGCUCUCAUACGACUUCCAGCCGAUCUGCUAUUUGACGAGUAUAUUCAAUCUGCCAAGUUACCCGAUGCAGACGAACUUUAUGAGAAUGAAAGUGCAGUUGUAUCUGGUUGGGGUCAAACAACUUUCAAUGGACCACAAUCAAAUCAUCUGCAGUAUUACAAUAUUUUUCCGACUUCAUUUAUCUGCUUGAAACCAAGUCAAAGUACUCCAUGUCAUGGCGACUCUGGUGGUCCAUUGGCAAUUCGGAAUGAGGAUGGUAGC